GAUGAACGCUGGCGGCGUGCCUAAUACAUGCAAGUCGAGCGAACAGAUGAGGAGCUUGCUCCUCUGACGUUAGCGGCGGACGGGUGAGUAACACGUGGAUAACCUACCUAUAAGACUGGGAUAACUUCGGGAAACCGGAGCUAAUACCGGAUAAUAUAUUGAACCGCAUGGUUCAAUAGUGAAAGACGGUUUUGCUGUCACUUAUAGAUGGAUCCGCGCCGCAUUAGCUAGUUGGUAAGGUAACGGCUUACCAAGGCAACGAUGCGUAGCCGACCUGAGAGGGUGAUCGGCCACACUGGAACUGAGACACGGUCCAGACUCCUACGGGAGGCAGCAGUAGGGAAUCUUCCGCAAUGGCGAAAGCCUGACGGAGCAACGCCGCGUGGGUGAUGAAGGUCUUCGGAUCGUAAAACUCUGUUAUUAGGGAAGAACAAAUGUGUAAGUAACUAUGCACGUCUUGACGGUACCUAAUCAGAAAGCCACGGCUAACUACGUG
rnacentral:rRNA from 1 species